rnacentral:sRNA from 1 species
GCUGGGUGUGGGCGGCACACACCUGUAAUCCCAGCAACUCAGGAGGCUGAGGCAGGAGGAUUGCAAGUUCCACGCCAGCUGGGAAACUUAGCAAGACCCUGCCUCAA